rnacentral:rRNA from 1 species
UACGAGGGGGGCGAGCGUUGUUCGGAAUUAUUGGGCGUAAAGGGUGCGUAGGCGGUUUGGUAAGUCUUGUGUGAAAUCUUCGGGCUCAACUCGAAGUCUGCACGAGAAACUGCCGGGCUUGAGUAUGGGAGAGGUGAGUGGAAUUUCCGGUGUAGCGGUGAAAUGCGCAGAUAUCGGGAGGAACACCGGUGGCGAAGGCGGUUCUCUGGGCCUGACCUGACGCUGAGGAGCGAAAGCGUGGGGAGCGAACAGG